GUGGGUCCUAUCUGGGUGAUCAGUCAACACAAGGGAAUGGCUUGAGAUACUUCCAACAUGUUCAAAUGGGGUCUAUUCAUCAGUCAAAACGUUAAUCUCGAAGAAGCAAAAGUUUGUUCAUUAGCUGUCAUGCUCGCCAGGCGAGCAGAAUGGGUCGCCUAGCGAGUCCCAAGAAAAGCCACCAGAAUCACCUACGCUCAGAGGAAUUUCUUGAACUGUCAUGCUCGCUAUGCGAAGCCCACGCGUUUUGAAAAAAAAUAAUAAUAA
rnacentral:lncRNA from 1 species